GCAGUGGGGAAUUUUGGACAAUGGGCGAAAGCCUGAUCCAGCAAUGCCGCGUGCAGGAAGAAGGCCUUCGGGUUGUAAACUGCUUUUGUACGGAACGAAACGGUCUGGAUUAAUACUCUGGGCUAAUGACGGUACCGUAAGAAUAAGCACCGGCUAACUACGUGCCAGCAGCCGCGGUAAUACGUAGGGUGCAAGCGUUAAUCGGAAUUACUGGGCGUAAAGCGUGCGCAGGCGGUUAUAUAAGACAGAUGUGAAAUCCCCGGGCUCAACCUGGGAAUUGCAUUUGUGACUGUAUAGCUAGAGUACGGUAGAGGGGGAUGGAAUUCCGCGUGUAGCAGUGAAAUGCGUAGAUAUGCGGAGGAACACCGAUGGCGAAGGCAAUCCCCUGGACCUGUACUGACGCUCAUGCACGAAAGCGUGGGGAGCAAACAGGAUUAGAUACCCUGGUAGUCCACGCCCUAAACGAUGUCAACUGGUUGUUGGGUCUCUUCUGACUCAGUAACGAAGCUAACGCG
rnacentral:rRNA from 1 species